rnacentral:rRNA from 1 species
GGACUACUGGGGUUUCUAAUCCUGUUCGCUACCCACGCUUUCGCUCCUCAGCGUCAGUUCCGGCCCAGAGUGCCGCCUUCGCUACGGGUGUUCCUCCCGAUCUCUGCGCAUUUCACCGCUACACCGGGAAUUCCACACUCCUCUACCGGACUCUAGUCACCGCAGUACCGAAUGCACCCUCCACGUUAAGCGUGGAGAUUUCACAUCCGGCUUACGGAACCGCCUACGAGCUCUUUACGCCCAAUAAAUCCGGACAACGCUCGCCCCCUACGUAUUACCGCGGCUGCUGGCAC